AGUGAACGCUGGCGGUAGGCCUAACACGUGCAAGUCGAACGGCAGCACAGUAAGAGCUUGCUCUUACGGGUGGCGAGUGGCGGACGGGUGAGGAAUACAUCGGAAUCUACUUUUUCGUGGGGGAUAACGUAGGGAAACUUACGCUAAUACCGCAUACGACCUACGGGUGAAAGCAGGAGAUCUUCGGACCUUGCGCGAUUGAAUGAGCCGAUGUCGGAUUAGCUAGUUGGCGGGGUAAAGGCCCACCAAGGCGACGAUCCGUAGCUGGUCUGAGAGGAUGAUCGCCAACACUGAAACGAGACCACGUUCCAGACCCCUACGGAGGGCAGCAUUGGGAAAUAUUGGACAAGGGGGGAAGCCUGGAUCCAGCCAGCCGGGGUGGGGAAAAAGGGCUUCCGGUUUGUAAAGCCUUUUUGUUGGGAAAAAAAAGCGGCAGGUUAAUACCCCGCUGUUCGGACGGUACCAAAAGAAUAAGCACCGGCUAACUCGUU
rnacentral:rRNA from 1 species